rnacentral:lncRNA from 1 species
UAGGAAUCAUGUGAUCACAGAUUCAUCCCAUUGGAUCUAGAUUUGGUUCCCAUGAUGGACAUUUUCAGUUGUAAGCAGCUUGUAAAUUAUUCUGCGGUGUCUAAAUUUCCUCAGAUGGUUUCCAUACCCACGAGGAAGUCGGCAUUAUUUUUGUAUAUUAUUUUCGUAUGGAUGCCUCGCAUCCGUCUAGUAAAAUCAAUCAAGACGAUCACUUAAUAAAAAUGGGAGUGUAAAAGGUCUCAAUUCCUAUUGAGCAUCAGGGUUUGAAAAACCUCUUUUAUAAAACAUCACUGCCAUAUCUUGCUAAAAACUGAAUUUUCACAUAAAUUCAAACCCUGUGUAUAUAGGUUCGAACGAGGCCUCACACAACUUCCAUAUAACAACACAUUGACCCACACACAUACACACACUCAGAUAAUAGUUUCUUGAAAAGAGGCGGUCACCAUGGUAACACGGAUGUCGGGGGGUGCCUAACACCUUCCCCCCGCAUAACCAAGUCCCCAGACCCUAAACGAAUCUCGGUUUCACCGACCCGUAUAUCAGUGUCACACCACUGGGUCAAUGUGCAAACCUUUUCUCGGUUGUGUUGGUACAACCAUUUAAAAAACUAACUGGCGACUCUU